CCUGUACCACCUAUAAUCGUUUUAAUCGAUGGGGGGACGCAGUAGGAUAGGCGAAGCGUGCGAUUGGAUUGCACGUCUAAGCAGUAAGGCUGAGUAUUAGGCAAAUCCGGUACUCGUUAAGGCUGAGCUGUGAUGGGGAGAAGACAUUGUGUCUUCGAGUCGUUGAUUUCACACUGCCGAGAAAAGCCUCUAGAUAGAAAAUAGGUGCCCGUACCGCAAACCGACACAGGUAGUCAAGAUGAGAAUUCUAAGGUGAGCGAGCGAACUCUCGUUAAGGAACUCGGCAAAAUGACCCCGUAACUUCGGGAGAAGGGGUGCUCUUUAGGGUUAACGCCCAGAAGAGCCGCAGUGAAUAGGCCCAAGCGACUGUUUAUCAAAAACACAGGUCUCUGCUAAACCGUAAGGUGAUGUAUAGGGGCUGACGCCUGCCCGGUGCUGGAAGGUUAAGAGGAGUGGUUAGCUUCUGCGAAGCUACGAAUCGAAGCCCCAGUAAACGGCGGCCGUAACUAUAACGGUCCUAAGGUAGCGAAAUUCCUUGUCGGGUAAGUUCCGACCCGCACGAAAGGCGUAACGAUUUGGGCACUGUCUCAACGAGAGACUCGGUGAAAUCAUAGUACCUGUGAAGAUGCAGGUUACCCGCGACAGGACGGAAAGACCCCGUGGAGCUUUACUGUAGCCUGAUAUUGAAAUUCGGCACAGCUUGUACAGGAUAGGUAGGAGCCUUUGAAACGUGAGCGCUAGCUUACGUGGAGGCGCUGGUGGGAUACUACCCUAGCUGUGUUGGCUUUCUAACCCGCACCACUUAUCGUGGUGGGAGACAGUGUCAGGCGGGCAGUUUGACUGGGGCGGUCGCCUCCUAAAAGGUAACGGAGGCGCUCAAAGGUUCCCUCAGAAUGGUUGGAAAUCAUUCAUAGAGUGUAAAGGCAUAAGGGAGCUUGACUGCGAGACCUACAAGUCGAGCAGGGUCGAAAGACGGACUUAGUGAUCCGGUGGUUCCGCAUGGAAGGGCCAUCGCUCAACGGAUAAAAGCUACCCCGGGGAUAACAGGCUUAUCUCCCCCAAGAGUUCACAUCGACGGGGAGGUUUGGCACCUCGAUGUCGGCUCAUCGCAUCCUGGGGCUGUAGUCGGUCCCAAGGGUUGGGCUGUUCGCCCAUUAAAGCGGUACGCGAGCUGGGUUCAGAACGUCGUGAGACAGUUCGGUCCCUAUCCGUCGUGGGCGUAGGAAAUUUGAGAGGAGCUGUCCUUAGUACGAGAGGACCGGGAUGGACAUACCUCUGGUGUACCAGUUGUCGUGCCAACGGCAUAGCUGGGUAGCUAUGUGUGGACGGGAUAAGUGCUGAAAGCAUCUAAGCAUGAAGCCCCCCUCAAGAUGAGAUUUCCCAACUUCGGUUAUAAGAUCCCUCAAAGAUGAUGAGGUUAAUAGGUUCGAGGUGGAAGCAUGGUGACAUGUGGAGCUGACGAAUACUAA
rnacentral:rRNA from 1 species